rnacentral:tRNA from 1 species
AAGAUAUGUUGAUCAAAAAAAAGCUGCUAACUUUUAUUUUUAGCGGUUUAAUUCCGUUUAUAUCCUU